AUUGAGAGGAUCUUUCUCUAGUACAAGAGAAUCGGGAAGGACGAACCUCUGGUGUACCAGUUAUUGUGCCCCGAUAAACGUUGGGUAACCAAGUGCGAAGCGAAUAACUACUGAAAGAGUAAGCCCACCCCUUAUGUUUAAU
rnacentral:ncRNA from 1 species